GACGAACGCUGGCGGCGUGCUUAACACAUGCAAGUCGAACGGAAAGGCCCUGCUUUUGUGGGGUGCUCGAGUGGCGAACGGGUGAGUAACACGUGAGUAACCUGCCCUUGACUUUGGGAUAACUUCAGGAAACUGGGGCUAAUACCGGAUAGGAGCUCCUGCUGCAUGGUGGGGGUUGGAAAGUUUCGGCGGUUGGGGAUGGACUCGCGGCUUAUCAGCUUGUUGGUGGGGUAGUGGCUUACCAAGGCUUUGACGGGUAGCCGGCCUGAGAGGGUGACCGGCAACAUUGGGACUGAGAUACGGCCCAGACUCCAACGGGAGGCAGCAGUGGGGAUAUUGCACAAUGGGCGGAAGCCUGAUGCAGCAACGCCGCGUGCGGGAUGACGGCCUUCGGGUUGUAAACCGCUUUCGCCUGUGACGAAGCGUGAGUGACGGUAAUGGGUAAAGAAGCACCGGCUAACUACGUG
rnacentral:rRNA from 1 species